rnacentral:snRNA from 1 species
CCCACCGGAGUUCCACUCCACUAA